AUCACAUAACGCUUAAUCAUUAUGUGAUCACUAUGACCAUGCCACCUCCAGCAAGCAAACAGUACGGUUAAGUUUGAGUACAUUUAUUUUUCAGGCCGUCGUGUCUGGUGAGAAUCAGCCCCACUUUGAAUUUACACAGAAGUGGGUUCCAGUAUUGUUUGAUGACCAACAGCUGGACAGGAUAGUGAAGUACCUGACAGGCUUCCUUCAUAACUGUGAAAAAAUCUCAGAUGAAGUCUCCACCAUGCUGUCCUAUGACAAGCUUAAAUACAUCCUUGUUGUGAUGUUGCCAGAGGUGACAGUAAAGGCCUUGGAAGAAAUAAGGAACAUGACAACAAAAGACGCAGUGGCAGAGGUUGAUCAUGGACCAAUGGAUGAGAGGUUAGUGAAACAUUUAAAUGUCCUUUAA